rnacentral:rRNA from 1 species
AAGUCGAGCGGUAACAGAAAGUAGCUUGCUACUUUGCUGACGAGCGGCGGACGGGUGAGUAAUGCCUGGGAAUAUGCCUUGAUGUGGGGGAUAACUAUUGGAAACGAUAGCUAAUACCGCAUAAUGUCUUCGGACCAAAGAGGGGGAUCUUCGGACCUCUCGCGUCAAGAUUAGCCCAGGUGAGAUUAGCUAGUUGGUGGGGUAAGAGCUCACCAAGGCGACGAUCUCUAGCUGGUCUGAGAGGAUGAUCAGCCACACUGGAACUGAGACACGGUCCAGACUCCUACGGGAGGCAGCAGUGGGGAAUAUUGCACAAUGGGCGAAAGCCUGAUGCAGCCAUGCCGCGUGUAUGAAGAAGGCCUUCGGGUUGUAAAGUACUUUCAGUCGUGAGGAAGGGUGUGCAGUUAAUAGCUGUACAUCUUGACGUUAGCGACAGAAGAAGCACCGGCUAACUCCGUGCCAGCAGCCGCGGUAAUACGGAGGGUGCGAGCGUUAAUCGGAAUUACUGGGCGUAAAGCGCAUGCAGGUGGUUCAUUAAGUCAGAUGUGAAAGCCCGGGGCUCAACCUCG